UCCAGGACUGUCCAACUAGACUGUUUUCUGUUUGGUUUUGUGUACUUUCAAGAAGUAGUAUUCUGAGAACUGUGAAGCAAGAGA